rnacentral:rRNA from 1 species
GGUUUUUGAUCAUGGCUCAGAUUGAACGCUGGCGGCAUGCUUUACACAUGCAAGUCGAACGGCAGCACGAGUGCUUUGCACUUGGUGGCGAGUGGCGAACGGGUGAGUAAUACAUCGGAACGUGUCUUAAGUGGGGGAUUAACGCAUCGAAAGAUGUGCUAAUACCGCAUAAUCUCUAAGGAGAAAAGUAGGGGAUCGUAAGACCUUACGCUUUUGGAGUGGCCGAUGUCUGAUUAGCUAGUUGGUAGGGUAAAGGCUUACCAAGGCGACGAUCAGUAGUUGGUCUGAGAGGAUGGCCAACCACACUGGGACUGAGACACGGCCCAGACUCCUACGGA